UAACCAGGAUUCCCCUAGUAACGGCGAGUGAAGAGGGAAUAGCCCAGCACCGAAGCCUGCGGUAGGUUUACUGCUAGGCAAUGUGGUGUUUGGGUCGACUCGCGGGAUUGCCACUCCACUCGAAGUCCAGCACUGAGUAUGGUUCCCUGGAUUUGGCCCAGAGAGGGUGAAAGGCCCGUGCGAGUGGAGGUUCAGACAUGUGAGGCAAUUCACCAGGUCGACCUUCGAGUCGGGUUGUUUGGGAAUGCAGCCCAAAGUGGGUGGUAAACUCCAUCCAAGGCUAAAUACAAGCACGAGUCCGAUAGCGAACAAGUACCGUGAGGGAAAGUUGAAAAGUACUUUGAAGAGAGAGUAAACAGUACGUGAAACCGCAUAGAGGUAAACGGGUGGCGUCAAGCUGCAAGCCUAGAGGAUUCAGUUGAUCGGUGUGUAUGCGCGCCUGGCGUGUCUGUCGGACGGACAGUCCACUGCGAAAUGGUGGGCCUGCCUUUCUUCUUGGGGGGCAGGAUCGGUGUUCCGGGUGGUUGCCGGUGCCGGCUGUUCUGUCUGUCUGCGCAGUGUGGAUGGACCGGUCAAUGCACUUCCUCUAUUUGGUGAGCACCACGACUGGUGGAACUGCCAGUCUGCCAUAGUCAAGUCGGAUUUGGUCGGUGGCUCUCCUCGUCGUCUUGGUGUGGGGGGGUCAUCGGCUGAGUUUCGAUCACAGGCGAACUCAGUGAGCGGCGCGUGUAGGCAUUCGCUUGCACACGUGUUAUCGAGCACUGGUCGUCAACGGGUCUGCCUGUCGGUUGUUGUGUACAGUCGCCGGCGGGUGUCCUGGUGGGCUAUGGUGGUAUGAAUAACUGUGCAGGGCACCAGAGUUGUCGGUCUCUAGUUUCCGUCUCGUGCGCACACUGUAUGUGGGCGUGGGGUGUUGCUGUAGGCUGCCAAUUGCUGGGUCUGAUCGUCGUGUUGCCUGCGCAAAGUGGGCCCGGCGGUGGUCUGGUGUUGGGUGGUCUGCAUUUGUGUGUGAUG
rnacentral:rRNA from 1 species